AGAUUCAGACCCGAUUAUCAAGAUCUAGUAAUUAUUAGUGGCCCUAGGAUAAUGGGUCUGGUUGAUAAAGUCUAUCGUUAAAGCCUUGAUUUAUUUGAUUGUACAAUAUUAGCCUCGCUCAGUAGGGAUUAAAUACACCGUGACAAUAAGAACGGAGAGAGAACAUGUAGGCUAAUGUAGAAUAAACUACAUCCACCGGUAGUAAUAUAUACAUUUAUAUAUCAACACCAUCAGGCAUUGUUGUAUGGAUAUAAAUAUAUAAGAUUUCAAGAAUCAGAAGUAGCAUUUCUUAGCUUGGAGAUCCUGUUGUGAAAGUGUUAUCUUACGUUGGGAUUGUCCUGAUUUGGCGUGUGUUCAAUUUUUUAAAAAGGGAAUCUAAUUACAAAAUGUCUUUCCUGAAGAUGUUUAAGAAAAAAUCUAAGGAUGACGAGAAGAAACGCGAGGAGGAUGAUGAACAAGAAAAGCGACGGUUACGUCAUUCGCUCUCAAUAUCUCGAUCAGGACGAUUCAAACAAAAAAAGCGAGAAAGAUCUGGCUUAUUGGAUAAGCCCGAAUUAUAUGAUGGUCCCGAAAACGAACAACCUGAUAACAUAAGUCCCAAAGCUCAAACCCGAAAUGGACAUUCCACUUCUCCUAAUAACAGCUGCCGAGAAGCGAGUAAACCUAUGCAAAGAGUUGCUUUGGGGCCUUCAAUUAUCUCUUGACCAUCCUCUGAAGGUGAUGAAAAAACAGCAUCCUUAAUAAAGACAAAUUCGACGGUUGAUUAUAAAUUGUGAAAUUUAGAUCCCGGACAACGGACAGUGAAAACGAUAGUAUUCCAAUAAGACAACAUAUCACAUACGGAAUGUAGUUUAUUGGGUGUAUUUGUUUGGUUGUGUGUAUCACUGUGUCUCUAUUCUAUUGACCGAUCUCCAGUUGAUGUCAACGAAAUUCUCAUAUCUUUAAUGUAAAUAAAAAUGAAAACGUGAUAAACAUGUAUUCUGUGUAAUACUGAUGAAUAAUAACAACUGAUGAUAUACAUAUUUUAUGUGUAAUACUAAUGAUAGUGUAGCUGAUGAUAUACAUUCUAAUGUGUAUCACGUGUAAUACUGGCGAUAAUGUAGCUGAUGAUAUACAUGUUUAAUGUGUAAUACUGAUGAUAAAAGCCGAUGAUGAUAUAAAUAUAUGAUGUGUCAUACUGAUGAUAAUAGUCGCUGAUGUUUACUAACUGAUGAUAAUAGCUAUGAUUCACGCAUGUAUUGAUGAUAAGAACUGAUGAUGCAUGUCUAUUAGUGACUGUACGAGUGCCUAUAUUUACAUAGUUCAAUGAUUUGUGUUCUGUAUUAUAUACUUAUAAUAUUUUGUACCUGUACAUACACACUAUUAUUGCGCUAUCCCAUUUAUUAUUUUUACUUAUAUUGUCAUUUUCAGUCUUAUCGAUUUAAGUAGUUCUAUAUUACGUACGAUAUAUUUUAAAAGUGUAGGAUUUUCAAUCAUAACUCGUAUGGCCAUUCAAAACACAGUCUUCAAAAGCGAACGACAGCACUCGACUUAGUGAAAUAAUAUGCAAUGGAGUUUAACGUCCUAAUUUCCUGCACAAACAGUCACAGUGAAGACGGACACAUGUCUGACAAUGUCCAACGUCUUACUCUUAUUUCGAAUUCCAACUGUCAAGUAACGGGAUGUCAAAAUUAGAUUUUAAUAUUACACAAGACAAAUAGUUGUUUGAACUAUCCAAUCAUAUAGUUAGGGUUGGGCAGUGGUAUCAGGUGUUCCGGUCAGACCUAGCCCCCCCCCCCACCACACACAACCAAAAAUGAACCAAACACAUCUGAAUAUGAAAAUAAAAAAAAAACGAAAUAUUAGAAAGACCACCCAAGCUUAAUAUUAAUGAUGUUUAGAAGAUUAAUAUGUCAUGUAAAGAUUUGACCAAUAUUGUCAUUUACAUUGCACUGCAUAACAAUGAUUUAUACGGGCAGGACGUUGACCUCCAUUUUGAAGUUAAACCCCCGCUGUUCGUCUUAUUCAUAUUAAAGCGAUUACUACCAAAUUCCAUUGUCUGAAUUUAGUCACCCGUAAAAUUUGUUACCUUCAAGUUAACUAAUAAAGUUAGGUAACUUUGCUAUGAUCAAAGGAACGUCUGGUUUAAAUAUGCGAUAAUAACAUUUGCAAUGAGCAAUUAAUAUAUUAGUUAUUAUCAUUUAAAAGUAAAGCUUUGUUGUAACAUGAUGUUAAUUUAUUUCAUGUAAAACUAUGUUCAUAUACUCAUUUUAAUUAAUUUUGUUUGCUAUUUAUGACUAUAAUGCCGAAAAAUUGUUAUUUAAAAAAUGGUUCUAAUAACUGACACAAUUUUUGUAUAUUGAAUAUAUGUGUUAGACAUAAAUGAAUAUCAAAAGGAAGAUUGCACUUAUCGCCAAAGUUUUAUACACUUUAAAUUUCUUAAUAAUUUAGGAAUGGAAAAUAUCUUUAAGUUUUGAUAAUUUAGAAAUACAGUACAAUAAUUGAAAGUCAUUAACGUCUCAUAUGACAGUGGUGGCCAUGGGUCGAUGAGACUGUAAUGCUAAAUUUAAAUCGAAAUUUCCCAUUCGGUCACUGUCUUAAUGAUACCACCAAUUCAAGUAUCGUAUUUGUUGUGUGCUUUGCAUGCUUGUUUACUUUAAUAUCAGGCCAAAAAAAAGACACCUUUGUUUACGGUUACUAGGGUCGGGCGGUCGGAAAUCGUCUGUUUUUCGGUCGGAAAAUCAUCAAUUUUUCGUUGGGUUUGUAUUAUACAUUUCCAAGCGUUUUUAGCAUGAAUACCGAAAUUUCACUGUUGAAAUUUGUCUAGAGAAAAUAAGACCAAGAUCGAGUUAUAAGGCCUCGGAAAUGCGACAAAAUGUUUACGCUCGGCGAUUUUGUUUUUUAAAAAUAGUGUUGAUUAGGUAAGCGUAAACACAGAUAACUUUUUUGGGCCUUAUAAGGAAUGUCUAAAUGCUUUUCAGCUAAUGUUUCUUAGGUUUUUCUUUCUGAAGUAAAUGAUUAUAGGUAGAUUUAUUUAGUUAUUGAUUUUAUCUCUCAAAAUUUUAAAGUAUUUAUAAUAUGUCAAUUGUAAAACUAUGAAAGCAAUAUACAUGUAUGUAUAUAUUUACAGAUCGAUAGAUCAAUCAUCUUUCUAUACUAUCGAUCAUCAUCAUCUCAAUUAUUUUUAAUAAAAUGAUUGCUGUAAAAAUA